AUAAACCCAAAAUUGUAAAUAAAAAUCAUAAAUAAUAACUUUAAGUAGCUUUACGGAAGUGUGGUCACCGCUGAGUUUCUGCUGCACCGAUCUGCCUAAGACUGUGGAUUACCUGACGGAACAGACAAACGGAUGGGAGUUUACGUAAACUCAGUGUGUAACCCAGUAGAAUUAAGCAUGAAAUCAUAUAGAACCAUAUGCACAGUCAGAAUCAGAUAACAGAUUCAGAAGCAGAUAUGCAAAAAUCCUACCAUCAUCCUCUACACACCAACUUCGACCAUCCCAUCACACCAUGUGGGGUUAAAAACACUCACCCAUCCCUACACACCACGUUGUGCUGUUAAGACACAUAUCAGAUAGUAUGCAGCCAUGCUGCCAAAAUAAAGGUGAUGCACGCCGUAUAGAUCACUUCCUCCUCAUAACAAAUACAAAGCCCAUCCCAAAACAGAUACAGAGCACAUAUACAAAAUUAACAGAUAAAACAUAUUUAACAUGCUUAUAUAUAUAGAUAUCAGAUAUGCAUCUAGCGUAUUAAUCAGGCAUACACAACAUAAUCACACCCAGAACAGUUGUAACACCCCCUAACCCCAAACCGUCGCCAGAACAGGGCUACGAGGCAUUACCGGAUAUAUCAGACAACUUAUGGAUAUUUUACAAUUAUUAUAACAUUCAUAGUAUAAUUGAAGAAUUAUGUCCCUAUAAUGGACUUUCGAAGCCCAACACAAGUAUUAAAGUGGAAUGAAACGGGACUUGUUCGAGUAUUCAGGGAAAUAUAUAUAUUUUUUACAAAAAUUUCGACAGCAUUUCUUCUUAAUUUUUACAUAAAACCCCCUGCAAAUUCAAACCAAAAACCACCUAAUCCAAAACCAAUAGCACAAUCAAAAAUAAUUUAAACCUAAAUAUAUCUAAAUCAUAACCAAUUCAUUAACAUAGUCAUUUAAUAACUAAACAUUCAUAAUAUUAAUCCAAAUUAACUAAUAACUUCAUUCAUUUCUUUUCAUUCCAACUUAUACCAAAUUAUACAAUAUAAUAUUUACCAUUUUAUCAAACUAAUAACAAAAUAUGGUAUACCAUUCUUAUAACUAACUUUACAAGUAUAUCUAUAUAACUUAUACAAUACCUAGUACAUGCCACUUUCAAUUAAGAAAGAAAACAUCACCCAAAAUCCUUUCGCUGAAGUCGGGAUCACUCGGAUGCU
rnacentral:lncRNA from 1 species